rnacentral:rRNA from 1 species
UUAAGCGACUAAGCGUACACGGUGGAUGCCCUGGCAGUCAGAGGCGAUGAAGGACGUGCUAAUCUGCGAAAAGCGUCGGUAAGGUGAUAUGAACCGUUAUAACCGGCGAUGUCCGAAUGGGGAAACCCAGUGCAAUUCGUUGCACUAUCGUUAACUGAAUACAUAGGUUAACGAGGCGAACCGGGGGAACUGAAACAUCUAAGUACCCCGAGGAAAAGAAAUCAACCGAGAUUCCCCCAGUAGCGGCGAGCGAACGGGGAGCAGCCCAGAGUCUGAAUCAGCUUGUGUGUUAGUGGAACGGUCUGGAAAGUCCGACGGUACAGGGUGAUAGUCCCGUACACCAAAAUGCACAGGCUGUGAACUCGAAGAGUAGGGCGGGACACGUGGUAUCCUGUCUGAAUAUGGGGGGACCAUCCUCCAAGGCUAAAUACUCCUGACUGACCGAUAGUGAACCAGUACCGUGAGGGAAAGGCGAAAAGAACCCCGGCGAGGGGAGUGAAAAAGAACCUGAAACCGUGUACGUACAAGCAGUGGGAGCACCUUCGGGUGUGACUGCGUACCUUUUGUAUAAUGGGUCAGCGACUUAUAUUCUGUAGCAAGGUUAACCGUAUAGGGGAGCCGCAGGGAAACCGAGUCUUAACUGGGCGUUAAGUUGCAGGGUAUAGACCCGAAACCCGGUGAUUCAGCCAUGGGCAGGUUGAAGGUUGGGUAACACUAACUGGAGGACCGAACCGACUAAUGUUGAAAAAUUAGCGGAUGACUUGUGGCUGGGGGUGAAAGGCCAAUCAAACCGGGAGAUAGCUGGUUCUCCCCGAAAGCUAUUUAGGUAGCGCCUCGUGAACUCAUCUUCGGGGGUAGAGCACUGUUUCGGCUAGGGGGUCAUCCCGACUUACCAACCCGAUGCAAACUACGAAUACCGAAGAAUGUUAUCACGGGAGACACACGGCGGGUGCUAACGUCCGUCGUGAAGAGGGAAACAACCCAGACCGCCAGCUAAGGUCCCAAAGUCAUGGUUAAGUGGGAAACGAUGUGGGAAGGCACAGACAGCCAGGAUGUUGGCUUAGAAGCAGCCAUCAUUUAAAGAAAGCGUAAUAGCUCACUGGUCGAGUCGGCCUGCGCGGAAGAUGUAACGGGCUAAACCAUGCACCGAAGCUGCGGCAGCGACACUAUGUGUUGUUGGGUAGGGGAGCGUUCUGUAAGCCUGCGAAGGUGACCUGUGAGGGUUGCUGGAGGUAUCAGAAGUGCGAAUGCUGACAUAAGUAACGAUAAAGCGGGUGAAAAGCCCGCUCGCCGGAAGACCAAGGGUUCCUGUCCAACGUUAAUCGGGGCAGGGUGAGUCGACCCCUAAGGCGAGGCCGAAAGGCGUAGUCGAUGGGAAACAGGUUAAUAUUCCUGUACUUGGUGUUACUGCGAAGGGGGGACGGAGAAGGCUAUGUUAGCCGGGCGACGGUUGUCCCGGUUUAAGCAUGUAGGCUGGUUGUCCAGGCAAAUCCGGAUAAUCAAGGCUGAGGUGUGAUGACGAGGCACUACGGUGCUGAAGUAACAAAUGCCCUGCUUCCAGGAAAAGCCUCUAAGCAUCAGGUAACAUUAAAUCGUACCCCAAACCGACACAGGUGGUCAGGUAGAGAAUACCAAGGCGCUUGAGAGAACUCGGGUGAAGGAACUAGGCAAAAUGGUGCCGUAACUUCGGGAGAAGGCACGCUGGUGUGUAGGUGAAGUCCCUGCGGAUGGAGCUGAGACCAGUCGAAGAUACCAGCUGGCUGCAACUGUUUAUUAAAAACACAGCACUGUGCAAACACGAAAGUGGACGUAUACGGUGUGACGCCUGCCCGGUGCCGGAAGGUUAAUUGAUGGGGUUAUCCGUAAGGAGAAGCUCUUGAUCGAAGCCCCGGUAAACGGCGGCCGUAACUAUAACGGUCCUAAGGUAGCGAAAUUCCUUGUCGGGUAAGUUCCGACCUGCACGAAUGGCGUAAUGAUGGCCAGGCUGUCUCCACCCGAGACUCAGUGAAAUUGAACUCGCUGUGAAGAUGCAGUGUACCCGCGGCAAGACGGAAAGACCCCGUGAACCUUUACUAUAGCUUGACACUGAACAUUGAGCCUUGAUGUGUAGGAUAGGUGGGAGGCUUUGAAGCGUGGACGCCAGUCUGCGUGGAGCCAACCUUGAAAUACCACCCUUUAAUGUUUGAUGUUCUAACGUUGGCCCCUGACCGGGGUUGCGGACAGUGUCUGGUGGGUAGUUUGACUGGGGCGGUCUCCUCCCAAAGCGUAACGGAGGAGCACGAAGGUUAGCUAAUCCUGGUCGGACAUCAGGAGGUUAGUGCAAUGGCAUAAGCUAGCUUGACUGCGAGCGUGACGGCGCGAGCAGGUGCGAAAGCAGGUCAUAGUGAUCCGGUGGUUCUGAAUGGAAGGGCCAUCGCUCAACGGAUAAAAGGUACUCCGGGGAUAACAGGCUGAUACCGCCCAAGAGUUCAUAUCGACGGCGGUGUUUGGCACCUCGAUGUCGGCUCAUCACAUCCUGGGGCUGAAGUAGGUCCCAAGGGUAUGGCUGUUCGCCAUUUAAAGUGGUACGCGAGCUGGGUUUAGAACGUCGUGAGACAGUUCGGUCCCUAUCUGCCGUGGGCGCUGGAGAAUUGAGGGGGGCUGCUCCUAGUACGAGAGGACCGGAGUGGACGCAUCACUGGUGUUCGGGUUGUCAUGCCAAUGGCACUGCCCGGUAGCUAAAUGCGGAAGAGAUAAGUGCUGAAAGCAUCUAAGCACGAAACUUGCCCCGAGAUGAGUUCUCCCUGAGACUUUAAGUCUCCUGAAGGAACGUUAAAGACGAUGACGUUGAUAGGCCGGGUGUGUAAGCGCAGCGAUGCGUUGAGCUAACCGGUACUAAUGAACCGUGAGGCUUAACCU